rnacentral:rRNA from 1 species
ACCUGCUCUUUGAUCCUCUACCUUGAUCCUGGGAGGAGCCAACUACACUGCACAAUAUCUAAUAGAUGGGGCCCAUCUAGUUGAAUUUGAGGGUUGAAAGAUUGGUUUAGCAAAUUUUACAUAGAGAGCACAUACGUUCUACCGUAGGUGUAGCAUUUUUUGUAUUUGGCACAUUGUUGAAACUUGAAAUCUUUAGCUGGAGGUGCCUAGAAGGUGCGGUAGGUGGAGAGUGGACGAUUUCAUCUUUGCCACUCGUGCUUAUAAAGACCGCAGUUCGGGCCUUGCCAUACAUACACUUAAGCAACAGAUAUACAGGACAGGAGUAUCAAGGAGGAAGACGAGGAAACGUUGAUGGCCGGCGGUGAAGAGCUGAAGCUGCUGGGGUGGUGGGCGCCCGGGGUGAGCCCCUACGUGCUCCGCGCACAGAUGGCGCUCGCCGUAAAGGGGCUGAGCUACGAAUACCUCCCCGAGGACCGCUGGUGCAAGAGCGACCUCCUCAUCGCGUCCAACCCCGUGUACAAGAAGGUGCCCGUCCUCAUCCACAACGGCAAGCCCAUCUGCGAGUCGCUGCUCAUCGUGGAGUACCUCGACGACGCCCUCGGCCUUCCCGGCAACGGCAAGCCCAUCCUCCCCGCAGACCCCUACAGCCGCGCCCUCGCUCGCUUCUGGGCCGCCUAUGCAAACGACAAGCUGUUUCCUUCGUGCGCCGGCAUCCUCAAGACAGUGAAGCAGGAGGAGAGAGCUGGUAAGGUGGAGGAGACCCUGUCCGGGCUCCGACACUUGGAAGCUAUCCUGGCGGAGUGCUCCAAAGGGGAGGUGGAGGCGCCGUUCUUCGGUGGUGACGCCAUCGGGUUCCUCGACAUCGCGCUCGGGUGCUAUCUUCCCUGGUUUGAGGCAGUAGGCCGCCUGGCCGGCUUGGGGCCGCUCGUCGACCCGGCGAGGACGCCGAAACUAGCGGCGUGGGCGGAGCGGUUCAGGGUCGCCGAGCCGGUCAAGGCGCUGCUACCUGGGGUGGACGAGCUGGAGGAGUACAUCACUAAGGUGCUUUAUCCAAAGUGGAACAUAGCGGUCACCAGUAACUAAUUAAAGAUCUCGUCGUUCCACCAUGGCAAAAGAAACAAAAAAUGGCGGAGGAUCGUGUCGAUCCAAUAAUUCCUCUGCCUUGUGAGUAGCUGUUUUCACGCCAAGAUUUGAACUGUUACUACUUGGUCGGGGUUCUUUUUGCGAUGGUUAGUGGGUCGUGGUCAUGAAUAAUGCACAAGCGUGCACUCUCUUCGAUCUGAGUUGUGAUGUGCUGUUUCGUGAAUAAAUUGAAGCGUCGUCGAUCUUGCAUCUGGCAAUGUUUUUCCAUUGAGCUCUUUAAGACCUCACAUCUUAUUCUUAGUAUGUUCUACCAAGCAUAUUAUUCCGGGGCUAAAUAGCUGUGGGUGGUGAUUCCGAAGGACUAGAUUUUACCAGGGCUAGGAUAUUUUUUAGGAAUCACUACUCCCUCCAACUCAUAUUAAUUUUGGGUGAUUUAGUAACUUUGUACUAACUCCGUGAGAAUUAACAUGGAUCGAGAAAGCAC